UUAGCUUUAUUGAAGUAAUUACUUCCAAAGCUGGAAAAAAUGUGAGCUAUAAGCCAGACUAUUUUUACAUAACAGAUCAAUAAUUUCUUUUCCCCACCGCCUGGUGUAAAACUAAUUUCGUCCAAAGAGAGCUUUGGGGAACACAUUGGUUCACAUUUGUACAGAGACUGAGCUCUGCAUUUAGUGAACUGAAAAACCAAAGGGCACUUUCCUCCAUGAAAAAGUGAGGGAACCACACAGAGAGGAAAAGAGGGGACACUACUUGGAAAGGAGAGUAGCAGAUAGCUUGUUCUAACCUUCAAGGAACUCAAGGUCCUUGUAUCCCUCAAGAAUAUCACUUUCAGGCCCUAGAACUUUCAAAUCAGCUUGGCCCACAGUUUGAGAAGCACUGGUCUCAACCAUUGAAAUGUCCAUUAGAUAAGAGUACUUGAACGUUGCUGGGAAAUAGGCCAAGGGAAUAGUGAUGGGAAGUUUGGAUCAUUUUACCGACUCGGACCUUUGAGUCUCGUUCAGCAAAAUGAACAAAUCUUUUUUCGAGUCAUUUCGUUCAUUUCGUUCAUUUUAGCAAAAUAGAAUUAAAAUGUUACCUGUUACCUCCCUAACACAUCUACUGCUUACACAAAUGUUGAUCACACUACAAACAAGACAAAACUAUAAUGCUAUAAGAAACAGAAAAUAUUAAUUCAUUGUUUACCUGGGUCUUUUAGUCUAUGAUUUGCUACUACUGAGCCGGUAAGUGGUCACGUGACAAAAGAACGAACGACUCGUAAGACUCGAGGAAUGAACUAAUCAAUUCUCUUUCUGGCUCAGACUGCAUAGGUUAAGCUUAUGGGGCUGUCACGUGAUGAACGAACGAAUCAAACCCGAAGACUCGAGAGAUGAACUAAUCAAUUCUCUUUCCGGCCCAGACUGAGUUGGUUAGGCUUAUGGGGCUGUCAUGUGAUGAACGAACGACUCGAAAAACCCGAAGACUCGAAAAAACUAUAGAAAGUUGCACAAAUGCGCAUGCGCGACUGAACGAAUCACUCCCACGAGACGACUCGUUCUUCCCAAGUCACAUUAAAGAUUCGUUCAAAAUGAACGAAUCGUUCAAGAAUGACCCAUCACUACAAGGGAACAAUAGUUUUGUUAUUAGGUCUUAGUGGGCUGCUGCUACAGUGCACAGGAAUUAGUGAUAUGAGAUGGUAUUAUGCACAAUGAGGAAGACACUGGAGACCUUGCAGGGAUGUCUAUCCUGUCCUGGUUUUUUUUAUAAAAGGCAACAGAUAUUUCCAGAAGAGAGACGACAUUAUUUUAAAUCUCCUGUAUAAACCCCAAACGUCUAACUAAAGACCAGGCUAUCACAGACGUGUCCUGCUCUGAAGAAGCUAGGGCUCCAUUGCUUAUAUUCUGGUUUAAAUACUGCCAUUGACAGGAUAACUGGAGUCGGUCUGUCGUUCCUCAAGGUGCCGUGCUGAGUAAACUUCACAGCUCUGGGGGUGCUGAAUGUACAAAAUGAGGUCACUGUGUCCUGUUGGUGGACUGUUUAGGCCUAAUCAUGAUACUAAUAAUAUUUUGUUAAAAAAAAUAGCUUUCAUAACACUCAAAAUCACAGACACACAAGAAAAAAAGGAAAGCAGGGAAGUUACAAUAUGACAGUCUUACAAACGAAAAAAUGUAAACGUCUUUACAUUCGCUUUAAAGGCAGCAACGAUAAAAGACUCAAAUGUAAAGAGACAGGAAGUUCUGCAGCCUGGAAGCAGCAGAGCUAAAUGCUUUGUCAUGUAGUGACUGUUGUUUAGCGUAGGAGACAAUAAGUAACUUUUCAUUAGUCCAGUGUUUCCCAACCUCGGUCCUUCAGGUACACUGCGGUUGCAGGUUUUUGUUCCAACCAGCUUCUGUUUUUAAUUGGACUCCUGGGCAAAUUAAGUGAUGUGUUAUUUUCCAAGUUCUGUGUUUUGGGAACAAUAUAGAAAUUAGAAAACUAAGUUUGGUAAAAAUUAUAUAUAUAUAUGUGUGUACUCUUUGCAUUUAUUUGACAGUAAACUAUUUCAACCAUUCUAUGAUGUGCUCCUCACAAACUGAGGGCACCGUGGCGGAUGUUAGCAGAUUGCUGGCCAACCACAAGCGUUACCUGGUAGGUAACCACCCAUACAAUCAGAUUGUGACACAGACUACGAAUGCCGUGAAUAUAAAUAUAUAUAUAUAUAUACGAGGGGGGACCCAAAAAUAACCGGAAUUUUGUUGUUGUUAGGUUGGUACUUGUAGUACGUGGUUGGGCCGCUAGGGCGAUCUAGUUACACUCCUCACAAGUCAGUCUGCCAAGUGCCAUCAGUCUGGAAGGUUGUGCUUGUGUUCAGUGAAUUUUUUUGUAAAAGUAGGUUGCGCAACAGUGUGAGAAGGAAACGCUCUGAUUUGUGGGAGUCGGGCGAUUGGUUCUUUCAUCAUGACAACGCUCCAUCUCACACUGCUCUCAGCAUUCGCCAAUUUUUGGCAAGAAACGGUACGACAACCCUGAACCACCCACCCUACUCACCGGAUUUAGCUCCGUGUGAUUUCUUUUUGUUCCCUUGGAUGAAAGGAAAGCGUUUUGCUGACGCCAAAGAGGUAAAACAAGAAAAGACCAGAGCAUUAAUGGGCAUUACUUCAGACGAAUUUAAAAAAUGUUUCGAACAAUGGAACAAACGGUUAGAUAAGUGUAUUUCCGCCAAUGGAGAGUACUUUGAAGGAAACUAAUUGUAGUUUGUACAGAAAAUUAAAUUAAACACGUUUUAAAAAUAUUUCCGGUUAUUUUUGGGACCCCCUCGUAUAUAUAUAUAUUUUUAUAUAUAUAUUUAUACAUACAUACAUACAAGUGAAACCUUGGAUUGCGAGUAACUUGGUCUGCAAGUGUUUUGCAAGAUGAGCUAAAUUUUUUAAUACAUUUUAACUUGAUAAACGAGCGAGGUCCAGCAAUACGAUUAGUACGUAUACGCUUUGUCCACCGAGCGUCACGUGGGGAUUGGGGGUAAUCGUCUCCCAUGAUCGUUGUCAGUCGGUGUGCCUCACUCAUAUAGUGAACAUCCGCACGAGCGUAUACCGUUUCCUAUAGCAGUGGUUCUCAAACUGUGGGGCGGGGCGUGAAGAUGUGAAAAAAAGAAAACAAGAAUCGAAAAUAUGAAAAAUACAUCUGUUGAAACCAAACCAAAUUAACUUAAACUACAUUCUGAUACUAGAAAAAUAAAUAUAGUUAGAUAAAUGUCGAUAAAAGUUAAGUAGGUAUAAUAAAAUAUGCAUCUGUUAUAUAUGAUUAAUUAAAAGUGAACAAAUUGGUAUUAGUGGGCUUCUUUCAAAAAAAUGUUAGUGGGGUGCGAUUAAAACUGUUAUGAAAACUCAGCUCGCAAAUACUUAAAGGUUGAGAAACGCUGUACUAUAGCAUGAUGACCACGUGCGAGUCCCUGUCAUGCACACCAAAACACGAGGCUGAAUCUCAGUACUUUAGCAAAACCAGCUUUUAUUCAGCGUGAAACAGGAACAGCACGGUUAUUUAUUGUAGCGGGAUCUACCGCUCUCCUAUACACAAGCACAGCCAUCAGGCAGGUCAGCGGCCAAGUAGUACUGUGCUCUUACAUUUAUAACGUUCCAUUGACGGCAGGCACUUAUAGUUUGACCGCAAUCUUUUCUGAUUCUCUUUUAUGGCGAACUGCUACAGUGCUGGGAGCCUGCGGUUGCUUGCUUCGGGACGCUCUUCCGCGUGUUUUCCCGUUGGGUGGAAUCCCAAAAGAGUUUAGAAACCUUACAGUGCGUAAAGCAUUUCUUUAAUUUUGUGUCCAAGUGUAGUGACUCUUCAGGCAGAAGCAACUGUCAUUGGAUUGGUUUCCUUCUUAAAGUCGCAAAAAAAAGAUUCCAGUGAGCCAACAGAUAGCAGGGAUUCCGUUAGUUAGUGUGAAGAUUUUGUAUUAAUCAUUUUUAUACGCAUAUUUUUGGGUUGUAGAACGAAUCAUCUGAGUUUCCAUUAUUUCUUACGGGGAAAUUUGCUUUGAUAUACGAGUGCUUUGGAUUACAAGCAUGUUUCCGGAACGAAUUAUGCUCGCAAACCGAGAUUCCAAUUGUAUGUUAAAAUGUGCCAAGCAGGUAUAUGGGAAUAAUGUGUUUUUUUCUUUUUAACAAUAUUUUCAUUCUACUUUUCUAGGUGUUCUAAUUGUUUAAUUAAUCCAUUAUUUACUAAUUAGUGGGUCUGUUGCUAAAGUACUUGCAGUCUUUGAUUAUUUAGUGUUGUUUGCCAGCGUGUCUGCUCUGCUCAUUUUAAUUGUCAUUAAUAAGAUACAACAAAGGGGGAAAAACUGCACAGAGAAAGGGCAAAAUAUAAUGAAAUCAACAAAAGAAAGAGUUAAGCAUUUAAAUCUAUAGCAAAAGCAGAAAUAUUUCGAAAUGUCUUAUAAAUGUAACAAUCAUGCUGCUGUGCUUUUCUGAAUGUAGAAUAAAAGAAAAAAAUAAUCCCAGCAAAUUAAAUGAGAUCUGCGUUAUCAGGUGUUGUCACUGAUUAGGAAUCUGGUUGGAACAAAAACAGUGUGCCCCCAGGACCGAGGUUGGGUAACACGGAUUUAGAUGACUGCCAACAAAGGGCAUGUCAUAAAUAAUGUAACAUGUUAGAACGACGGGUGGGACCAUUAUCAUGGAGAACUUCACAUGUCAGCAAAACAAUCUUGUAAGAUAUACUGAAGGAAAUCCCAUUUGUCGUGAGCAGUGUUUUUUUUUUCUUUUUAUAAUUCUCCAUCUUUUUUUGUGGCUUUGCCCCCCCUGAUGCAAAUCUUUUAGCAUAAACUGAAAACAUUUAAAUGAAGCUACAGUGUUUAGUACAGUAUUAAUAUGCAGAGUCAAUCAUGAUAUUCGUUAUUCUUUGGAAAGAAAAGUUUUUCUUGCACUUUAUAAAACAUAGCAGCUGGAAAAUGGUGGAUGGAUGGCACACUUAACCUUCACCGUCAGUUUUUUUAUGUGUUUUAUUUUUUUAUAAACUACGCAAUUUCUAUACUUGAGUAAAAGCCGAGUCACCUUUCUAGGAAGUGAGUCAAGUAAAAAUUUGCCCAUUGAGAAAACUAGUCAAGUAGACGUUUUAAAGUAUCUUGAUAUUAAUUGUACUUAAAGGAGUACUCCACCCAAAAAUAGUUACUUCUGGAAUACCCUGCACACAUCCUAAAUAGUAAGCUAAAGCAUCAUGGGAAUGACUUUUUAAACUGAAGACCUGCCUUACUCCUUCAUUGAUUGGUCAAGACUCUGGUCUUCAAUUCAAAAACUGACAGAAGAGGUGUGCGGGCUUUCCCUGCUUUAAGAAGUUGGUAACCUUUCUUCUUCUUUCGGCUGCUCCUGUUAGGGGUCGCCACACUUCCAUAUCCCUGAAAUCUCCAUUGUAAAGUAAAUUUUGGGAUUGCAGACAUUGUGUUACAAUUAAUUUAAAUGGAAUGUAUUUUUGAGCAUUCCCUGCCAUCAAAACAGACUCCAGCUUUUGUUCAGGUAACGCCAAACGGCAUGAAAAUUGGCAGAAUUAGUUUUAACAAUAAUGUUAGUCUUUAAAACAAACCCUAAUAAAAUAUUGUCCUUCAUUUUGUUUUCCAACUGUUUCACAAUACGUCUUUUGAGCUAUGAUAAUGAAGCUAGACAUGAGCAGUACACAUAACAAGGUGAGUGUUCACAUGCUGUGGUUCAUACAAGCCCACCUCAGUGUAACCCGUGGAUGAGCUCUGCUCCAUUUAAGGACAGAGUGUGAAUUUGGUCACAUUCUCUAUGGAAGUAACAGGCUGGAAUUGCACGUCAUUAACAUCCAGCCCCGCCCAGUUCUGUGGACUGCAGUGAGAACGACUACGUAGAUAGGUGACUGGGUGUUCGUGCCAGCAGUGCACACUGGAAAACUGUCGAAAAAUUUUUUCUAUACAUAAAUAUUUGUGGCAGCACGGUGGCACAGUGGGUAGCACUGCUGCCUCGCAGUUGGGAGAUCUGGGGACCAGGGUUUGCUUCCCGGGUCCUCCCUGCGUGGAGUUUGCAUGUUCUCCCCGUGUCUGCGUGGGUUUCCUCCCACAAUCCAAAGACAUGCAGGUUAGGUGGAUUGGCGAUUCUAAAUUGGCCCUAGUGUGUGCUUGGUGUGUGGGUGUGUUUGUGUGUGUCCUGCGGUGGGUUGGCACCCUGCCCAGGAUUGGUUCCUGCCUUGUGCCCUGUGUUGGUUGGGAUUGGCUCCAGCAGACCCCCCGUGACCCGGAUUCAGCGGGUUGGAAGAUGGAUGGAUGAAUAUUUGUAAAGUGAGGGAAGUUGAGUAAAACAUUGUGUGCCAUUGCAUAGCUCUUUUGUUUUCUGGUUUAGCAUUGCAGUAACAAAUGUGUGUAGCAAAAUAUAUCAGGGUAAAAGUAGACAUUUACGUUUGAAAAUGUAGUGAAGUAAAAGUGAAUGUAGGCAGAGUAGAUGUGCAGUGUAGUUCAGAUGAUAAAAUAAUAAAUCAUAAGUGGUGGUAAUGAAGAAAUCUUGGGGGGGGGGUUCAGUUUCAACAGCAGCACCGCUCAGUUUUUAGUGCCAAACUGUUAACUCUUUAUAAUUGUUAAAAGUGGUGCCAUCCAGCCUUUUUAAAUUACAGCUUUGAGAACAUUUAGAAACAGAAGGCAGCAUCAUCCAGGCCACAGAGAAAACUUGCUACAUAUGGUAGUACACAAGAGGGGUGACAAUAAUAGACGUUGGCCAAUAUUUGCUGUUUCAGCCCCCAGCCACUGACGCUGACUCAUUAUGUGAUGCUGACUGAGUCACUUUACCUGCCAGUACUUCAGCUACACCAGUAUGGCUCACACAGUCCAUUGAGCUGCUGUCAGGAAGACUGCUGACUCUAAAUUAGCCUGGUGAUAGAUAGUGUGUGCAUUUGUGUGACGGCCACCAGAGUAAGUAAUGUUCAGAAAAUAGAUAACAAUGCGCUUAAUUCUAUCUAUAUAAUUUAGAUGGUUUGGAGAAAAGUGACAACCAAAAAAAUUUUUUUACUGUAAUAAUUUGGCAGGGAGGACAUGGUGGCGCAGUGGUUAGUACUAUUGCUUCAUUGAUUCAGCAUGCUGAAAUCGAAUCCCAUGCCUUGAAAUUGUUUAUGUAGACUUGUCCUGUGCUCCCUUGUCUGUGUGGGUUCUCCUUCAAUAUCCCCGAACACUGUCGGAGUGUUGGUGCGCAUAUGUAUGGACCCUGCAGUGCACUAGCAUCCAGUUCAGGAUUGGUUUCUAACUGGGAUAGACUCUAGUACCCUGCACUCAGUGCUUGAACCAAAUUGCUGGUGGUAUUCUUUUAAUGUUGACACAGUGACUUUCGGGUGGCACAGUGGUAGCGCUGCUGCCUCGCAGUUAGGAGACCUGAGGUUCGCUUCCCGGGUCCUCCCUCCGUGGAGUUUGCAUGUUCUCCCCGUGCCUGCGUGGGUUUCCUCCCACAGUCCAAAGACAUGCAGGUUCGGUGCAUUGGCGAUCCGAAAUUAUCCCUGGUGUGUGCCCUGUGGUGGGCUGGUGUCCUGCUCGGAGUUUGUUCCUGCCUUGCACCCUGGGAUUGGCUCCAGCAGACCCCCGUGACCCUGUGUGUUAGGACAUGGGUGUCAAACUCCGGUCCUGGAGGGCCGCAGUGGCUGCAGGUUUUCAUUUUAGCCGUCUUCUUCAUUAGUGACCAGUUUUUGCUGUUAAUUAACUUCUUUUGCCUUCGUUUUAAUUAACUUGAUUCAGGCCUCUUGUUUGUCGCCACAUGACCAGCUCACUUGUGCCCAUCACACAAUAUCUAAAAAUAAAGAGAGGUGAUGGCCUUGGUAAGGGUGAUCUCUCAGGUCUCCAAAACAUCUUGACGGUGUUCUUCGAUAAAAACAGAAAAUCAACAGUUCUGGAAAUGUCUGCUGUGGCAGAAUGAGAGCAGCAACAAGUCAUAGAAUUAAAUAAUGGGUUUAAUUAACAGCAAGGAUCAGCUUCUCAUUAAGAAAGCGAUUGGAGUGAAAUUGGUUGGAGUUUGAACUCCCAGUUUAGUUGGUCAUCUGUUGGCUCGUUUCACAUCUCAUUUCUGUUUGGCUGCCAUUUAAUGAAGAAAGGAAUAAAUUCAGGGGACAGGACUGAACAGGGCUAUUAAAAUGAAAGUAAAAGAAGUUAAUUAGCAGUGAAAACUGGUCACUGAUUAGGAAAAGGGUUAGAAUGAAAACCUGCUGCCACUGCGGCCCUGCAGGCCCAGAGUUCGACACCCCUGUGUUAGGAAAUAGCGGGUUGGAGAGUGACUGACUGACUGACAUCAGUUUCUAAUAGGCUCCAUGUUUGAGCAUUACAGAAAACAGUCACAUUUUACAUCAUUUUUAAAAUAGCAGACCCCCGUGACCCAGUGUGUUAGAAUAUAGCGGGUUGGACAAUGACUGACUGGCUGACUAAAAUUGUAUAUCCAGUUAACUGAACCCGGGGGUGGGCGAGCAAAGUGAACAGGGGGGCAGAGCCCCCUAGUUUAUAUGUGCAGUGGGUACGGAAAGUAUUCAGACCCCCUUCAAUUUUUCACUCUAUUAUAUUGCAGCCAUUUGCUAAAAUCAUUUAAAUUAAUUUUUUCCCUCAUUAAUGUACACACAGCACCCCAUAUUGACAGACAAAAAAAAGAAUUUUUGAAAUUGUUGCAGAUUUAUUAAAAAAGAAAAACUGAAAUAUCACAUGGUCCUAAGUAUUUAGACCCUUUGCUCAGUAUUUAGUAGAAGCACCCUUUUGAGCUAAUACAGCCAUGAGUCUUCUUGGGAAAGAUGCAACAAGUUUUUCACACCUGGAUUUGGGGAUCCUCUGCCAUUCCUCCUUGCAGAUCCUCUCCACCGCAUUCAUCUUUCCCUUGAUUGCAACCAGUCGUCCUGUCCCUGCAGCUGAAAAACACCCCCACAGCAUGAUGCUGCCACCGCCAUGCUUCACUGUGGGGACUGUAUUGGACAAGUGAUGAGCAGUGCCUGGUUGUCUCCACACAUACCGCUUAGAAUUAAGGCCAAAAAGUUCUGUCUUGGUCUCAUCAGACCAGAGAAUCUUAUUUCUCACCAUCUCAGAGUCCUUCAGGUGUCUUUUAGCAAACUCCAUGCGGGCUGUCAUGUGUCUUGCACUGAGGAGAGGCUUCCGACAGGCCACUCUGCCAUAAAGCCCUGACUGGUGGAGGGCUGCAGUGAUGGUUGACUUUCUACAACUUUCUCCCAUCUCCUGACUGCAUCUCUGGAGCUCAGCCAAAGUGAUCUUUGGGUUCUUCUUUACCUCUCUUACCGAGGCUCUUCUCCCCCAGUAGCUCAGCUUGGCCGGACGGCCAGCUCUAGGAAGGGUUCUGGUCGUCCCAAACGUUUUCCAUUUAAGGAUUAUGGAGGCCACUGUGCUCUUGGGAACCUUAAGUGCAGCAGAAAUGUUUUUGUAACCUUGGCCAGAUCUGUGCCUUGCCACAAUUCUGUCUCUGAGCUCUUCAGGCAGUUCCUUUGACCUCAUGAUUCUCAUCUGCUCUGACAUGCAUUGUGAGCUGUAAGGUCUUAUAUAGACAGGUGUGUGGCUUUCCUAAUCAAGUCCAAUCAGUAUAAUCAAACACAGCUGGACUCAAAUGAAGGUGAUCUCAAGGAUGAUCAGAAGAAAUGGAAAGCACCUGAGUUAAAUAUAUAGGAGUGUCAUAGCAAAGGGUCUGAAUACUUAGGACCAUGUGAUAUUUCAGUUUUUCUUUUUUAAUAAAUCUGCAACAAUUUCAAAAAUUCUUUUUUUUGUCUGUCAAUAUGGGGUGCUGUGUGUACAUUAAUGAGGAAAAAAAUUAAUUUAAAUGAUUUUAGCAAAUGGCUGCAAUAUAACAGAGUGAAAAAUUGAAGGGGGUCUGAAUACUUUCCGUACCCACUGUAAUAUUAAUUUUUAUUUAUUUAUUUUUUUUAAUUUUGUACAUUUAGCAAUUGAAAGCAUACACUAUCUCAUUGAGUUCCCUUUUAUAGGAUAUUCAGCCGUUUUCAAAGGGUGCAUUUCAGUCAGCCUGGUGCCAGCUAGCCACAGUGAAAGGCUGGGUGGCUCUGCAGGCCUGGAGUUGUGCCUACAAAGAUGUCAGUGAACUACAAGAGGCACAUGAAAAAGUCAUUUUUAUUAAUUAAACACCGCAGGUUUAAUUUUUUAUAAUAACAACCCCAGUUGUAUUUUUUUUUUAAUUUGUUGAAGUUCCUACAAUAAACCAUCAAAUCAUUUGGGUUGAGAAUAUGUUCAAUUCUAACACCCUGGGCUUUUAUUUGUGGACAGAUCUGGAAAAGGUUAACAUUAUUUCCAUUCUGUCUGACUGGAGAGAGUGUGAGAGAUUGAGAGGGAGAGAAUCCAAGUUGGUUUGAGCCCAGGAUCCAUACAAGUCCAGCAUUUGUAACAUUAAAAAUUGAAAGGCAACAUGUUGAUCUUUAUGGUGCUUAUAGUGUGAGAUUUGUUGAAGUGUCUAAAAAUGUUUUGGGGGUAUUUCCUGGUCUUGGCUGUGCAGUUGUAUGGCUGUAAAUAUGUAUUCCUGUACUACCAUGUGUGUUCUUUUGUG